rnacentral:rRNA from 1 species
UGGGGAAUAUUGCAGCAAUGGGCGGAAGCCUGAUGCAGCAACGCCGCGUGAGUGAUGAAGGCCUUCGGGUUGUAAAGCUCUGUCUUUUGGGACGAUAAUGACGGUACCAAAGGAGGAAGCCACGGCUAACUACGUGCCAGCAGCCGCGGUAAUACGUAGGUGGCAAGCGUUGUCCGGAUUUACUGGGGCGUAAAGGAUGCGUAGGCGGAUUUUUAAGUGAGAUGUGAAAUACCCGGGCUUAACUUGGGUGCUGCAUUUCAAACUGGGAUCUAGAGUGCGGGAGAGGAGAAUGGAAUUCCUAGGUGUAGCGGUGAAAUGCGUAGAGAUUAGGAAGAACACCAGUGGCGAAGGCGAUUCUCUGGCACCGUAACUGACGCUGAGGCAUGAAAG